UCCGACACGAACCCCGACGUCAGCGCCCCUACCGGAUGGCUCAUCAACACGAUGCUGCCUAAGACAAAGCCAACGCUCAGAAAAAACUUGUUUCAGAUGCUUUUGGAGAGCGUUGAACACUGAAAAUCGCCAAUUUUGGAGUUAGUUCCCAGAGGCUUCCAAGAAAGCGAAAUUCAGAGCUCAGAAAUGUGACGAAUAAUGUAGUUAAAACUGAAUUGAAGGCUAAUACCAAUCCAAGAGGCGGUGUGAUCAUCCAUGCGCAUGGCCUCAUCCUCGGGAGAAGUUAGAGUGCUAUUGCUCGAUUCUGUCUUAUGCAGGGCUCCAACAACUAUGGUUGGCAUCAUGUAUAUCAUUCCGACCAGGAUCAAAAAACAACAUUCCACAAAUGUCGCGUAAAACUACAAAAAAAUAAGAGAAACGUCAAAAUUAGAACCAAAACCGGAACGAGCAUGAGAUUAAAAAACUAUCUAAAUAUCUUGAUUGUAUCAUUAUUGGUAUCUUGAAUAUAGAUUUUUUUUUUAUUUAUUUGCACAAAAAUACAUCUAAUUUGCACAGGGAA